GUGGUUUCCUCCAGAAUCCCCUCUGCAAACUACAGACAUUGAGAUUGAGGGGAUGCAGUUUGUCAAAGAUCAGCUGUGAUCAUCUGGUAUCGGCACUGAAGUCCAACCCGUCCCAUCUGACAGAACUGGACCUGAGAGAGAACAACCUGAAGGAGUCAGAUGUUCAGCAGCUGCAGGAUCUUGUAAAGAGUCCAGACUACAAACUAGAAACUCUGAAGUGGAGGUGAUGAUCUUAGUGGAGGAGAGAAAAUGAGCUGUCCUGAUGAUCCAGAGGUUGAAGCUGCAGCAGUUUGACUUUAAAGAGACUAUGACUGGAUCCUGAUGAUGAACUCUGACCUUAGAGAUGUUGAUCCUG